rnacentral:rRNA from 1 species
AUACGGAAGGUCCGGGCGUUAUCCGGAUUUAUUGGGUUUAAAGGGAGCGCAGGCGGCACUUCAAGCGUGACGUUAAAUUUCGGGGCUCACCCCCGUUGUGCGUCGCGAACUGUUGUGCUUGAGUAGGCGGCAGGGAGGCGGAAUUCGCGGUGUAGCGGUGAAAUGCUUAGAUAUCGCGAGGAACUCCGAUAGCGCAGGCAGCCUCCCGUUGCUUUACUGACGCUCAUGCUCGAAGGUGCGGGUAUCGAACAGGAUUAGAUACCCUGGUAGUCCGCACUGUAAACGAUGGAUGCCCGCUGUUGGGCCUUUUGGGCUCAGUGGCCAAGAGAAAUCGUUAAGCAUCCCACCUAGGGAGUACGCCGGCAACGGUGAAACUCAAAUGAAUUGACGGGG